CAAAUCUUCAUUUUCAAGGUUGAAAGGUUUUUGGUUGAUCUUCAUGCCUCCAAGCUCAUCCAGGUUUUAAUGGUAUUUCGGGACUACUUGGAUUAGGACCUUGUUGGUGCUAGUUUUGUCAGAUUUGGAGGCAGUUGGAACCUAGUUUGAGUCGCACACAUAUGCUCGUCUUCUUGGUAGGUACUAUGGCAUCUCAGUAGCUGCACCUUCACUAUGGUCACUCCCUUGGAAGUUUAGAGUCCUUAUCAUUGAACAUAUGUACCUUGAUGUAAAUUGUUAAGAUAUAUAUAUCUUAAGCAAUAGAUGUUUAUGUUGAUUAAUGUUGCCACUACGAGAUGGCACAAAUGACAUUAUUUUAAAUCAUAAAUGUGAACAUAUGGUUUCGAUGGAAAAGUAU
rnacentral:sRNA from 1 species